rnacentral:rRNA from 1 species
AACGAACGCUGGCGGCAGGCUUAACACAUGCAAGUCGAACGCCCCGCAAGGGGAGUGGCAGACGGGUGAGUAACGCGUGGGAACGUGCCCUAAGGUACGGAACAACUCCGGGAAACUGGAGCUAAUACCGUAUGUGACCGAGAGGUGAAAGAUUUAUCGCCUUAGGAUCGGCCCGCGUCAGAUUAGCUAGUUGGUGGGGUAAUGGCCUACCAAGGCGACGAUCUGUAGCUGUUCUGAGAGGAAGAUCAGCCACACAGGGACUGAGCCACGGCCCGGACUCCUACGGGAGGCAGCAGUGGGGAAGCUUGGACAAUGGCCGCAAGCCUGAUCCAGCCAUGCGGCGUGGAUGAUGAAGGCCCUAGGGUUGUAAAAUCCUUUCGCCGAGGACGAUAAUGACGGGACUCGGAGAAGAAGCUCCGGCUAACUUCGUGCCAGCAGCCGCCGUAA